rnacentral:lncRNA from 1 species
GCACCUGUCAAGCCAGUGCCUGAUGGGUCUGGCAAUGCCAGCAGGCUGAGACUGCUCUAAGCAGGUGACAUCUGGGGAUCAGCACAUGCAAAGAGUGAAGGUGUGUAUGUGUCCUUUGAUGUGGCCACUUGUUCUUGGGGGAUUCUUGAUGGCAGGAGAUAUGGCUUUGCAGCAUCAGGACAGGAUGGCCUGGGGAAAGGGUUUGGUAGCAAGUAGGCUAGGGCCUUCUGCAGUCGGAGAGCCUAGUACUGCUGGGUCUACUUUGGCAGGGUCAUGAGCAUGGGUCUCUCAGCAGGUGCUUGCUUGGAGAUGAUGGGUGCUCUGUUCUCUUCCAAAGCUGCAUGGAGGAGCUGGGGAAGGGAGCCCAUGGACCAACAGAGUUGGCACCUCCUGUGCCCAGAACGAGCUCAUCUACUGCACAGCUGCCGCUGAGCUGGCCCCGCCUGGGGCAGCCCCCAGGCAGCCGGAAGGAGCCGGGAGGAGCUGGAGACCCCCCCGCAGCUGGCCCUGGGGCUGAUCACCCCAAGAAUCCCCUGAGCUAAGCCACGUCUCUGCAGCAACGGAGCAGCCACUCAGGAUUCACCCUGUGCCUGCACCCAGGCCGGUCAGUGCCUGCCCUGCCCCCAGGCAGGGGCUGUCAGCACUGCUGCCGUGCAGCGCAUGGACUUUGAUGCCCACUCCUUGUUCUGCUGCCCACCUGCAUGAACCGCCUCAAACUGCAGUUGCUCCCUGCUCCCCUUU